CGGCGUGCCUAAUACAUGCAAGUCGAACGGUCUUUUCUAUGGAAGCUUGCUUCCACUGAGAAGAUAGUGGCGAACGGGUGAGUAACACGUGGGUAACCUGCCCAUAAGAGGGGGAUAACAUCCGGAAACGGGUGCUAAUACCGCAUAGUUUUCUUGAUCGCAUGAUUGAGAAAGGAAAGACGGCCUUUGUGCUGUCGCUUAUGGAUGGACCCGCGGCGUAUUAGUUAGUUGGUGAGGUAACGGCUCACCAAGACGAUGAUACGUAGCCGACCUGAGAGGGUGAUCGGCCACAUUGGGACUGAGACACGGCCCAAACUCCUACGGGAGGCAGCAGUAGGGAAUCUUCCGCAAUGGACGAAAGUCUGACGGAGCAACGCCGCGUGAGUGAAGAAAGGUUUUCGGAUCGUAAAACUCUGUUGUCAGAGAAGAACAAGUUGGAGAGUAACUGCUCCAGCCUUGACGGUAUCUGACCAGAAAGCCACGGCUAACUACGUGCCAGCCGCCGC
rnacentral:rRNA from 1 species